rnacentral:rRNA from 1 species
GACGAACGCUGGCGGCGUGCCUAAUACAUGCAAGUAGAACGCACAGUUUAUACCGUAGCUUGCUACACCAUAAACUGUGAGUUGCGAACGGGUGAGUAACGCGUAGGUAACCUGCCUGGUAGCGGGGGAUAACUAUUGGAAACGAUAGCUAAUACCGCAUAAUAUUAAUUAUUGCAUGAUAAUUGAUUGAAAGAUGCAAUUGCAUCACUACCAGAUGGACCUGCGUUGUAUUAGCUAGUAGGUGAGGUAACGGCUCACCUAGGCGACGAUACAUAGCCGACCUGAGAGGGUGAUCGGCCACACUGGGACUGAGACACGGCCCAGACUCCUACGGGAGGCAGCAGUAGGGAAUCUUCGGCAAUGGACGAAAGUCUGACCGAGCAACGCCGCGUGAGUGAAGAAGGUUUUCGGAUCGUAAAGCUCUGUUGUAAGAGAAGAACGGGUGUGGGAGUGGAAAGUUCACACUGUGACGGUAUCUUACCAGAAAGGGACGGCUAACUACGUG